CGGAUUUGGCCCUGCGUUGCCCACUCCUGAUGCAUCUUGUCCAGUGAGGAACAAAACACCCUGCCACCUGCCUGAAGAACAGGAAGAAAAGAAGUUACAGAGGCAGAUUCCAGCGCAUCCAGAGACCGAGAUGUUGAUGCUCAGAGGGAGCUGGGAUCACCAAGACAUGUACUUCCAGAAGCCCCAGGGGACAAGAGUCACACUGACCCAAUUAGUAGAUGUGCUGACAGUGACCACAUGGCAUAGACAUCAGCACCCUGGCUGCCCAUCCAAGAUCCAUCAAAUUGAAGAUAGCACAGCAAAAUCUCACUUUGUGAAACCUGGCACAAGGACUAGAGAAGCCAGAGCAGCAGCAUAUAUCCCAAAACCACCGGAAAAAGCUGGAGAGAAUGGCAUGUUGACCUGUGGUUGGCUAUACCAAUAGUUAUUGUGAGAAGAGACCUCUUCCCCAUCAGAUCCCACCACAUCUGGACACCACUCUCCACCAUAAGCCUGGAGUCUCGCUUCAGCUGGCAACCUUCCACUCAGCCUUCCUUGUGAGGAAAUGCCCUGUUUCUCCUCCAUAUUCUGGAUUCACUCGUUACACCCAGCACCGGCCACCUUAAAUAGAAGCACCCUGAGACAUUCAUACUUCUCAGAAGCUGCCAAAGAAUGUCACCCUUGUGUCACCCUGGGUCACAUAGAACCUGGGUCCACUUCUGAUAGAUGCUGCCUGACCUGGUCAGAGAGUCGCUCCUUCCUCAGUUUUGGUACCCUUCUCCCUGCCUCUCUCAUCCCGGUUGUGACUUUGCCAGUGCCUGCUAUUUGGAUUGCAUGAAGAGGGAGAAGGUUUGGUUGGAGGAAUCGAUGCCUUGGUCUGCUGGGAGGCUGAAACCUGCUCUAACCUAGGCAGAAGGUCACCAACCCUCAUCUCAUGCCCUGCCUUGUCCCCUACCCAUGACUCAAUCGUACCUCUGUGUCUGUCCUAUCCUGGACAGUUGUACUUUAUUUUUUUUCAAUUAAACAGAAUUUGGUUA